GACGAACGCUGGCGGCGUGCCUAAUACAUGCAAGUCGAACGCACUCUCGUUUAGAUUGAAGGAGCUUGCUCCUGAUUGAUAAACAUUUGAGUGAGUGGCGGACGGGUGAGUAACACGUGGGUAACCUGCCCUAAAGUGGGGGAUAACAUUUGGAAACAGAUGCUAAUACCGCAUAAAACCUAAACACCGCAUGGUGUAGGGUUGAAAGAUGGUUUCGGCUAUCACUUUAGGAUGGACCCGCGGUGCAUUAGUUAGUUGGUGAGGUAAAGGCUCACCAAGACCGUGAUGCAUAGCCGACCUGAGAGGGUAAUCGGCCACGCUGGGACUGAGACACGGCCCAGACUCCUACGGGAGGCAGCAGUAGGGAAUCUUCCACAAUGGACGAAAGUCUGAUGGAGCAACGCCGCGUGAGUGAAGAAGGUUUCGGAUCGUAAAACUCUGUUGUUGGAGAAGAAUGUAUCUGAUAGUAACUGAUCAGGUAGUGACGGUAUCCAACCAGAAAGCCACGG
rnacentral:rRNA from 1 species